AUUGAACGCUGGCGGCAGGCCUAACACAUGCAAGUCGAACGAGUGGCGGACGGGUGAGUAAUGUCUGGGAAACUGCCUGAUGGAGGGGGAAAACUACUGGAAACGGUAGCUAAUACCGCAUACCAUCUGAUGUGCCCUGAUGGCAUUAGCUAGUAGGUGGGGUAAAGGCUCACCUAGGCGACGAUCCCUAGCUUGGCUGAGAGGAUGACCAGCCACACUGGAACUUAGACACGGUCCAGACUCCUACGUGAGGCAGCAGUGGUGAAUAUUGCCCAAUGGGCGCAAGCCUGAUGCAGCCAUGCCGCGUGUAUGAAGAAGGCCUUCGGGUUGUAAAGUACUUUCAGCGGGGAGGCGUUACCCGCAGAGGAAGCACCGGCUAACUCCGUGCCAGCAGCCGCGGUAAUAC
rnacentral:rRNA from 1 species